rnacentral:rRNA from 1 species
CAAUAGCGUAUAUUAAAGUUGUUGCGGUUAAAAAGCUCGUAGUUGGAUUUCUGCUGAGGACGACCGGUCCGCCCAUUGGGUGUGUAUCUGGCUUGUUCUCGGCAUCUUCUUGGUGAACGUUGCUGCACUUGACUGUGUGGAGCGCUACCCAGGACUUUUACUUUGAGGAAAUUAGAGUGUUUCAAGCAGGCAUAUGCCUUGAAUACAUUAGCAUGGAAUAAUAAGAUAGGACCUCGGUUCUAUUUUGUUGGUUUCUAGAGCUGAGGUAAUGAUUAAUAGGGAUAGUUGGGGGCAUUCGUAUUUAACUGUCAGAGGUGAAAUUCUUGGAUUUGCUAAAGACGGACUACUGCGAAAGCAUUUGCCAAGGAUGUUUUCAUUGA